GCUCUGGUGGACUAGUGGUUAGAGCGUCCACCUCGGAUGCGGGAGGUUGCGGGUUCGAACCCUUACCGGGUCA